ACUGUCACCUGACCGUGCUGGCAACCUGCUUUAGGUCUUCCUCCAGAACUGUGAGCAAUAAAUAUUUGUUAUUCAUAAAGCAUCCAGUCUGGGGUAUUUUGUGAUAGCACUCCAAAAGGACUAAAACAACUUCUCAGCAAACAAAAACAUUGUACUAUAUGAACAUCUCUAUCAGGAAGAGCAGGGGAAACCGUUUGGGUUCCAAACAAUCUUCUUCUUCUUCUUUUUUUUUUUUUUUACAUUUUAUUUAUUUUUGAGAGAGAGAAAGAGAGACAGAGCACAAGUGAGGGAGGGGCAGAGAGAGAGGGGGACACAGAAUCUGAAGCAGGCUCCAGGCUCUGAGCUGUCAGCACAGAGUCCGACGCGAGGCUGGAACUCACAAACGGUGAGAUCAUGACCUGAGCUGAAGUCGGAUGCCACCCAAGCACCUCACCAACAAUCUUCUUGAUGCCAAUCGGUUCACCACUCCACCUCAGCAAGAAAGAGUAUACUGCCUUCCAGACUGGAACAAUCUCCACAAAAUCUUGUUCAUCCGUGCAGCACACUUCUGCAUGCCUGACUGGGACAGGACAAGGCUGAGAGGAGAAAGGAGGGAGGACCAUCACACUGUCUUUCCAGAGAAAGCAGAUGUUCAAGAAGCAUUUGGAGAUAUGGGCCUAGACACUUCAUAAGAAGUCAAAACUGGAAGCGGCGACACACCACUGUUUUAAGUCAUUCAAUUUGGCAAUCCAACUACUGAGUUUCCACUUUAUAUCCUAUACUAGACCAUAUAGAAGGUAAAGAAGAAAGGAAAGACAUGGCAAGGCAAGGCUUAAGGACAAAGAGGUGUGCAAACAAGAGUGAGGAACACAGAUAUAAAUCAGGAGCCAAGUGAAGUAUAAAAAAGUCUUAAAUAGAAGAAAUCUCAAACAGAAUGAAAGAGCAUUCCACAGAAUGGGAGAAAAUACUAGUAAGCCAUAUAUUUGAUAAGAGAUUAAUGCCCAGAAUACAUAAAGAACUCCUACAACUUGACAACAGCAAAAUCACAAAUGACUCAAUUUAAAAAUGGGCAAAGGACUCGAAUAGAUAUUUCUCCAAAGAAGACAUGCCAAUGACCAAUAAGCAUAUCAGAAGAUGCUCAACAUCACUGACCAUCAGGGAAAUAUAAAUAAAAACCACAAAGAGAUAUCA
rnacentral:lncRNA from 1 species